GGCGAUCAGAUACCGCCCUAGUUCUGACCGUAAACUAUGCCAACUAGCGAUUCGCCGGUGGAUUAUAUGCCUUGGCGAGGAGCUUCCCGGAAACGAAAGUCUUCCGGUUCCGGGGGAAGUAUGGUUGCAAAGCUGAAACUUAAAGGAAUUGACGGAAGGACACCACCAGGAGUGGAGCCUGCGGCUUAAUUUGACUCAACACGGGAAAUCUCACCCGGCCCGGACAGUAUAAGGAUUGACAGAUUGAUAGCUCUUUCAUGAUUUGGUGGUUGGUGGUGCAUGGCCGUUCUUAGUUCGUGGAUUGAUUUGUCUGGUUUAUUCCGAUAACGAACGAGACUUAAGCCUACUAAAUAGUUGGCUCAUUCACUAUGUGUGAGUGUUAUACUUCCUAGAGGAAUUUUCGGUGUUUACCUGCAUGAAAAUGAGCAAUAACAGGUCUGUGAUGCCCUUAGAUGUCCGGGGCUGCACGCGCGCUACACUGGUGUAGCCAGCGUGUAUAUCCUUUCUCGUUAGAGACUGGGUAAACCAAUCAAAUUUUGCCGUGAUUGGGAUUGGAAAUUGCAAUUAUUUUCCGUUAACGAGGAAUUCCAAGUAAAUGCGAGUCAUCAACUCGCGUUGAUUACGUCCCUGCCCUUUGUA
rnacentral:rRNA from 1 species